GAUGAACGCUGGCGGCGUGCCUAAUACAUGCAAGUCGAGCGAACGGACGAGAAGCUUGCUUCUCUGAUGUUAGCGGCGGACGGGUGAGUAACACGUGGAUCACCUACCUAUAAGACUGGGAUAACUUCGGGAAACCGGCGCUAAUACCGGAUAAUAUUUUGAACCGCAUGGUUCAAAAGUGAAAGACGGUCUUGCUGUCACUUAUAGAUGGAUCCGCGCUGCAUUAGCUAGUUGGUAAGGUAACGGCUUACCAAGGCAACGAUGCAUAGCCGACCUGAGAGGGUGAUCGGCCACACUGGAACUGAGACACGGUCCAGACUCCUACGGGAGGCAGCAGUAGGGAAUCUUCCGCAAUGGGCGAAAGCCUGACGGAGCAACGCCGCGUGAGUGAUGAAGGUCUUCGGAUCGUAAAACUCUGUUAUUAGGGAAGAACAUAUGUGUAAGUAACUGUGCACAUCUUGACGGUACCUAAUCAGAAAGCCACGGCUAACUACGUG
rnacentral:rRNA from 1 species